rnacentral:rRNA from 1 species
UACAGAGGUCCCAAGCGUUGUUCGGAUUCAUUGGGCGUAAAGGGUGCGUAGGUGGCGCCGUAAGUCGGGUGUGAAAUUUCGGAGCUUAACUCCGAAACUGCAUUCGAUACUGCCGUGCUUGAGGACUGGAGAGGAGACUGGAAUUUACGGUGUAGCGGUGAAAUGCGUAGAUAUCGUAAGGAAGACCAGUGGCGAAGGCGAGUCUCUGGACAGUUACCGACGCUGAGGCACGAAGGUCAGGGGAGCAAACGGG